GUCUUGGUAAAUGGCGAUCGAGUCACUAGUGGAUGAGCCCGGCCUUGAUGUUUUAAAUGGAACUGGAGAACACCUGGUUGAUGUUCUGCUCCAUACU
rnacentral:ribozyme from 1 species